rnacentral:rRNA from 1 species
GACGAACGCUGGCGGCGUGCUUAACACAUGCCAGUCGAACGGAAAGGCCCUGCUUUUGUGGGGUGCUCGAGUGGCGAACGGGUGAGUAACACGUGAGUAACCUGCCCUUGACUUUGGGAUAACUUCAGGAAACUGGGGCUAAUACCGGAUAGGAGCUCCUGCUGCAUGGUGGGGGUUGGUAAGUUUCGGCGGUUGGGGAUGGACUCGCGGCUUAUCAGCUUGUUGGUGGGGUAGUGGCUUACCAAGGCUUUGACGGGUAGCCGGCCUGGGAGGGUGGCCGGCCACAUUGGGACUGAGAUACGGACCAGACUCCUACGGGAGGCAGCAGUGGGGAAUAUUGCACAAUGGGCGGAAGCCUGAUGCAGCAACGCCGCGUGCGGGAUGACGGCCUUCGGGUUGUAAACCGCUUUCGCCUGUGACGAAGCGUGAGUGACGGUAAUGGGUAAAGAAGCACCGGCUAACUACGUG